CAAAGCACUUUGAAGAGAGAGUUAAAGAGGACGUGAAACCGGUGAGAUGGAAACGGAUAGAGCUAGCGUAUCUGGCUUGCAUUCAACCGCCGGAUUGCUGCCUUCUAGGUCGCUGCCUCCAGAUUGGGGUAGUUGCCAUGAGUGGUGGUGGUUUGGUGGUGCAUUUGCAAGUGGUGUGCGCCGAGACGCUCGGGUCAGCGGCAUGAGCUCGGUUUUGAGGCCAGCCUGCAAAGGUCUGGUACCCGGACCGGGGGAGUGUUGUUUGGCCUGGGUGUGCCCGUUUGGCAUGGCUAACGAGCUCAGGUGGGUGCCGAGCUGGUAGUUGGUUACGGUCGCAUGCGACACGUGCCAGUGAUCAGUUCGGUCCUAUUUGAGCUCUCAUGUCUAUUCUCGGUGUAAAAGCUGGUCAUCUAUCCGACCCGUCUUGAAACACGGACCAAGGAGUUUAUCGUGUGCGCGAGUCAUUGGGCGUUCAAAACCCAAAGGCGUAAUGAAAGUGAAUGUAUCCGCAAGGAAAAGACGUGCGAUCCUUUUUCCCCGGUGUACGGGC
rnacentral:rRNA from 1 species